GUUUCUGGUUCCUCUAAAUACUGGUAACCCUCAUGGGACAGUGAGAAUAAAUGGGUCAAGGAUAAUCUGGCAUGCUUAAAUCCCUACAUGCUUCAAAGGGUGCCAACUGUUUUGUAGGCUGUUUUAACUCUGUUCUCUGUGUAUCCAUGGAUACAGGCUCACCACUGGAGGGUGCUAUAGACCUACAAGAGGAAGAGAUGGAACAGUGUCUCAGGUCUGACGUUCACCCUGGAUCCCUCUGCUGGUGCUCCAUCUCUCCACCUCCUCCCUCACUGUGACCUUCCACGGACCAAGCCCUCCGUCACUACCCUCUCGUCACCAUAGCAACAGGGUCACGGGUUCAGUAUCCCAGGAGUCUGCCCCCCAGCUCCUCCCUCAGGUGUGUGGGGACGUGGUCAGGGGCCAGUUCUACUGGGAGGUGGAUGUCUGCAACAGCACUCUGUACAGGAUAGGUGAGGAUGUGCACUCUACUCCACCUGGCCAUGAGUUAAUGGUAGUGGCAGAACAAGUACAAAUCCCUGCUUUGAUAAUAAUACUCUUAGCCUCUGGCAUGCUGAUCUAUUUCUACUGACAGAUGGGCUACAUUUCUUACACAUAAUCAUGUGGCAGUUGUAGCCUACAAAUAUAUACAGGCAGUCUUGUGCAAAUACUCCCACACACACAUGAUAUUGUCCCUAGGGCAUACAUGACACAGGCUCUGUCCUACAUAAAGUUCAUUCACGUCCUUUAACUCUGCUCUGUGGUGCCGCCCAGUGGUGAACAGGAUGACGGCAUGGAUUUCCCAGCGCUUGGCUGAACCACUAACAAUUAAAUUGUUUCUUUAACAAUUUCAUUUUGGCUUACAAGGCAUGUUGACAUCUGCUCUCUGUAAACAUCAGAAAGCUCUAAUAAUUUGGCCCAGCAACAAGCCAUAAACAAUCUGUUGAUUUGAAUCAAAUAUGACAGAAAUGUGCAGCUUCAUCAACUGUAGAGAGUCAGGCAAAAUACGGUAUUAGUGGUUGUUGACCAGGAUGACUGGCACUGUCGACCGAACAUAGGAUGGGAACAGCAUUGAUAUUUUACAUAUUAUUGCUCACUCGUGCCUAUCCCACAUGAAAAAAUACUACGGUUUGCUAUAGAAUGCUACAGUACUUACUAUAGAAUGGUGUAGUAUACUAUUGUAAAUACUACAGACCACAAACACUCCAGUAAAUACUACAGUAAUGUUCGCAAAAACACUACUGUAAUUACUAUAGUAUAUACUACAGUAUUUCAUUUGCAUAUACCCUGCCCAUUCCCCUCCUAUAUCCCAAUUUGUUCCACCCAUAAGUGACAAAUGUUUCUCUUAUGGUUGGCACCAAUAUUAUUGUGUUCCCUACAUAGCAAAGAGCAGAACCUGACUGUCCAUUCAGACCUCAGUUCUACCUACCUAUAGGUUAUGGAAAAUUUGCUCUUUAAAGGUUUUGUCCAUUAGGGUUCCACAAGUAUAUUACAGUCUGCAAAAAAUACUACAGUAAUUACUAUGGUAUAUUGUUUUCCUUACUACAGUAUUUAUACCAUAGUAAACUGUAACAACUACAGUCUUCAUGGGGUCUUCCUGGGGCGUACAUAUAACAACUUUUUGUUUUUAAGUACAGUGACUGCCACGUACUGCCACUACUAAAUGCAAAUAGGGGAAACACAGGGUGCCUGGGGGCCAGUUUGUUCCUGCUCCAAUCAACAUGUUUUAGUCAGGCCAAACGAGGCAACAACUAUGUAGCUUUGUUGAGUGCAGAAAAAGUUGGGCAUAAAGACCACCC
rnacentral:lncRNA from 1 species